rnacentral:rRNA from 1 species
UACGAAGAGAGCUAGCGUUGUUCGGAAUUACUAAACGUAAAGCGCACGUAAACUGACAUUUAAGUCAAAACUGAAAUCCCGAGGCUCAACCUCGGAACUGCCCUUAAUACUGGAUGUCUCGAGUCCGGAAGAGGUUAGUGGAAUUCCCAGUGUAGAGGUGAAAUUCGUAGAUAUUGGGAAGAACACCAAUAGCGAAGGCGGCUAACUAGUCCGGUACUGACACUAAGAUGCGAAAACGUGGGGAGCAAACAGG